UGUACGAGGAGCUCGCGGCCUAUCAGGUAGUUGGUGGGGUCACGGCCUACCAAGCCAUUGACGGGUAGCUGGUCUGAGAGGAUGGCCAGCCACAUUGGGACUGAGAUACGGCCCAGACUCCUACGGGAGGCAGCAGUGGGGAAUAUUGCGCAAUGGCCGCAAGGCUGACGCAGCGACACCGCGUGGGGGAUGAAGCAUUUCGGUGUGUAAACCCCUGUUGCUCGGGACGAACAACGAGUUUCGACUCGUCUGACGGUACCGGGUGAGGAAGCACCGGCUAACUCCGUGCCAGCAGCCGCGGUAAUACGGAGGGUGCGAGCGUUGUCCGGAAUCACUGGGCGUAAAGGGCGCGUAGGCGGUCUGCUAAGCGUGUGGUGAAAGCUCGGGGCUCAACCCCGAGUCGGCCAUGCGAACUGGUGGACUAGAGCACUGUAGAGGCAGGUGGAAUUCCGGGUGUAGCGGUGGAAUGCGUAGAGAUNNNGNAGAACACCGGUGGCGAAGGCGGCCUGCUGGGCAGUAGCUGACGCUGAGGCGCGACANNNUGGGGAGCAAACAGGAUUAGAUACCCUGGUAGUCCACGCCGUAAACGAUGGGCACUAGGUGCUUGGGGGAGCGACCCCUCGAGUGCCGGCGCUAACGCAUUAAGUGCCCCGCCUGGGGAGUACGACCGCAAGGUUGAAACUCAAAGGAAUUGACGGGGGCCCGCACAAGCGGUGGAGCAUGUGGUUUAAUUCGACGCAACGCGAAGAACCUUACCCAGACUUGACAUGGAUGGGAAAGCCUCUGGAAACAGGGGCCCCUCUUCGGAGCUCAUUCACAGGUGCUGCAUGGCUGUCGUCAGCUCGUGUCGUGAGAUGUUGGGUUAAGUCCCGCAACGAGCGCAACCCUUGCCCUUAGUUACCAGCGAGUAAAGUCGGGGACUCUAGGGGGACUGCCGGUGCCAAACCGGAGGAAGGUGGGGACGACGUCAAGUCAUCAUGGUCCUUACGUCUGGGGCUACACACGUGCUACAAUGGCCGGUACAAUGGGCUGCGAGAUGGCAACAUCGAGCCAAUCCCCAAAGCCGGCCUCAGUUCGGAUUGUCGUCUGCAACUCGACGGCAUGAAGCUGGAAUCGCUAGUAAUCGUGGAUCAGCGACGCCACGGUGAAUACGUUCCCGGGCCU
rnacentral:rRNA from 1 species